rnacentral:rRNA from 1 species
CAAAGGCUUGGUCCUGGCCUUACUAUCAGCUCUAGUCCGAUUUACACAUGCAAGUAUCAGCACCCCCGUGAGGAUCCCCAUAGAACCCUGCAUGGGAAUAUGGAGUUGGUAUCAGGCCCAAAAGACUACCACAAAAUGGUAACCACAGCCCAAGACACCUCGCCCAGCCACACCCCCAAGGGUACUCAGCAGUGAUAGACCUUAAGCAAUAAGCGAAAGCUUUACUCAGUCAAGACUAAGAGAGCCGGUAAAACUCGUGCCAGCCACCGCGGUUAUACGGGGGGCUCAAGUUGAUANUCAGCGGCGUAAGGGGUGGUUAGGGAAACAUUUAAACUACAGCCGAAAACCUUCAAGGCCGUUACACGCACCAUCGAAGGUGGGAAGACCAACUACNAAAGUGGCUCUACUGCACCUGACCCCACGAAAGCUAAGAAACAAACUGGGAUUAGAAACCCCACUAUGCUUAGCCUUAAACACCGAUCGAAUAUAUCCAAUUCCAUCCGCCUGGGAAUUACGGACACUAGUCUAAAAACCAAAGGACUUGGCGGUGCUUUUCACCCCCCUAGAGGAGCCUGUUCUAUAACCGAUAACCCCCGUUAAACCUCACCCUCCCUUGCUCAAUCCACCUAUAUACCGCCGCCGUCAGCUUACCCUGAGAAGGAAUAGUCGUAUGCAAAAUUGGCACAACCCAAAACGUCAGGUCGAGGUGUAGUUAAUGAGAGGGGAAGAAAUGGGGUACAUUUGCUAAUUUAGCAAAUAUCGAAUGUUUUAUUGAAACAUAAAACUGA